rnacentral:lncRNA from 1 species
UUUUGUGGUGAAUACGUUAGAGACAAACGCAUACGUAAAGUGCGAGACAAAUUUAAUGUAGAUACCGAGAGAAUAUGCUCAAAACAUUUUACAGAAGCUGACUAUUGUUUAAAAGGAAAACUAUUGGGAUUACCUGACAACAAGUGGAAGUUAAGAAAUGAUGCAAUACCUUCUCUUCAUUUAAUAAAGACCCCAAGUGCUAAAACAUCGAUUGAAAAUACACGCAAAAGAAGAAUAAAGAUAAGAAAUGUAUUAAAAAACAUGUAAGUAUUUUGAUUUUAUACACAAUUUAACGAAAGACAAAAUGUUUCUAUAGAUACUAAUGGCCAUUUUAAUAGAACUCCGAAUUCGAAGUAACACUUUAUUUUUGAUAGCUCCAUAAAUAACUCAUUUUGGAUGUAUUUUUUACUACAUAUAUGGUAAUAAAAUGUGUUCUUUGUAUAUUUAACUUUUAUUACAGAGAAAACAAAUGAACUACAACCUGAAAUGUCAAAUGUGUUAGAUCAGAUUGCAAAACAAUCAGUAGAAGAAACUUUCGACACAUAAUUUAAGGAUAUCGCUACUCAAACUGUAAUUGAAAACGACAUAGUCAAAAAAGCCAUGGAACAAAUAAAGAAUUUGCAAACUGAAAA